ACGGGUUUCCAAUAGCAAGGAGUAGUUUAUGUGAAGUAUACUUUUUAAGAAAAAAAUCUAUAUAGAGAUGUUUUAUGCCACUGUUGUGUAUAAGCAAAUCUAUGGCAUAGGAAAACUUUUUUACAUGAGAAAGUUUAGGACUUGAGUAAUAAUUUAUAAGUAUUUUAGUUAGUCUUAUUUAUGCAAACAGCAUUUUUAUUUGUAAAACACAGCUUACAUUUAGACUUUUUGGGUUAAAUUAUGUUAGUUUAAAAAAAAUCGCAAAAAGUUUUUGACCCACAUUUGACUCGCAAAAAGGUUUUUGACCCACACUCAUUUUUUUAGAUUUCUAUUUUAAAACAGCCAGGACAUUUUAUGACUACACUGUGUGGCAAUAAUUUACUAAAUGCAACUAGAAGUGCAAAACUUUCGGUAUUAGAAGAAAAUAUGAUAAUCCUCACUUGUGGCAACUGCAACAAGGAGUUGGUUAAAAGUUUCCAGUGAAGCGUGGAGAUGCUGAUGAACAAAGUGAUCUAAACAGAUGUCGCUUGGUCCAGAAGCUAGUCAUGAAAAAUCUAACAAAAGAACAGUUGAAUGUUUGUGACUCAAGACGAUGGCAUUAAUCAAAUGUAGUUACUUACACCUUUCAUUUGGUUAGGCAAGAAUUUUUGAGUGGUUUGCUCACUUUCCUGGAUCUUCCAAUAAAUUAAGCAAGAUAAAAGUUGUUUUUAUUAUUACAAAAAACUUAUUAGUCACUGUAACAAUUUUGCAAUACAGCAUGAUGUUUAUACUUUAAUAAAAUGUUUUGGCAAUAA